GUAACAGAGAGUAGCUUGCUACUUUGCUGACGAGCGGCGGACGGGUGAGUAAUGCUUGGGAAUAUGCCUUUUGGUGGGGGACAACAGUUGGAAACGACUGCUAAUACCGCAUAAUGUCUACGGACCAAAGUGGGGGACCUUCGGGCCUCACGCCAAAAGAUUAGCCCAAGUGGGAUUAGCUAGUUGGUAAGGUAAUGGCUUACCAAGGCAACGAUCCCUAGCUGGUUUGAGAGGAUGAUCAGCCACACUGGGACCGAGACACGGCCCAGACUCCUACGGGAGGCA
rnacentral:rRNA from 1 species